UCUUUCUCGCGGUUUCCAGAAAACCCUAGGUCAACAGUUCUCUCUCUCUCUCUCUCGUGGUUCGAAAGAGAUUUAGAGGAGGUUUUGUGUACAGAAAGAGACAUGGAGGAGUUUUUGCGUGCAGAUAGCAAAUCGUUAUAUGCACAACUCAAGGAGCAAGAAAAGCGUCUCAAACUCAAAAGAAGGUGGUUGAUGGGACUUUGUUUAUCUGAUUCUGAACUAAAGCUGUUAGACAAAAUGAAGUUAGAGGACAAGAAGACAUUACCUGAAUCAAUCCUCAGGGAGGAUGAUGUGUACUACGAGAUCAUAAAAGCUUUUAUCGAGAAGGGAUUUGGGGCAUGCAAUUUUGAAAGAGCGUAUCAUGUAGAUCAAGAUAACUUUGAAAAUUUUGACUUGCCCAAUAAUUUAAGGAAGCUUUCCUCAAUGCUUGAUGACAUGACCAACAGUGGACUUCAGCGUUUUGCUGAGAUACUGACAGGUGGCUCAAUUCAGUUUGAGAAGACCCGAUGGAAGAUGAAAAAGAUCAUCAGAGACUGUCUUCCAGAAAUCGAUGGAAACUGGAAAGGAAAUUGUGAAACAAAUAUUGCUGAACAGCUAAGUGAGCUUCUCAAGAACUCACACAAAUUCCAAAGAAAUCUUGCUAACCUGUUGACUCCUCCACCCCCUUCCUAUCAUGCUGCUGCUACUAAGGUAUUGGAUGGACUUGGGGAUAUGCCUUUUGUAACCGUAAGUGCGAUGCAUCGGAAACUUACGGGCAUCCGGGGAUAUGUGCCUCAGUUGUAUCCAUUGAAAUCUGGAUGGGGACGAAGCAUUUUAACUGAUCGAGUGAGGAAAAUUUGUACAGAAAUGUUAUCAAAACUUAGCGAAGAGGAUGAGCUGCAGGAACCACUUGCUAAAGCUAUGGCAGUCGGAAGCUUAUCAUCUAGUCUAAUACAGGGAUGUCCUUUUGUACCACAAUUUUGGAGAUUCUCACCAGAAAUUGUAGCCUUGCAGAAUGAGAUAGCAAAGGCAAUAUGGCUUCUCAAAGAGGUGAGAUUCCCUGAACUGAAGAUUUUGCAACUGCUGCUGGACCCAAAUGCUGAGUUAUCAGAUAGAAGUUUACGAAAUACCAUAAGGAACCUAUUAACAGAGUAUCUUUUUGAAUGUGGUGAUAUGGACAGUAUUCCAGACUAUUUAUUUGAAGCUAUUAAUAUUAUCAAUAGGACAUCUCAAAGUGCUCCUUAUAGGUUUUUCUCCGAGGGGAAUAUAGCAAAAGAAGUAGAGUCCGUACUGUGUGUGAGUGCUCAGUUAAAGCAGAUUUUGUGGGACUUGCUUCCUGAAUAUGAGUUUGACAAUGAUUUUGCGGAUGCAUAUAUUGAAAAUCUAGAAGAAAGUUGCUCUGAUGCUUAUGAUGAGGACAGCAUUAAUGAAGCCGAAGAACAGUUAUUCUCUGAAAAUUCUUUGUUUCAUCCCAAUGAUCCUGAAGACAACAUAGAAUUUGUUGGGGAGACAAAUCUGGCCAAUUUGAUGUCACCUGGCUCUACAAGUGGAAGGAAUGAAACAUCCUCAGGUCAUGGAAGCAACAUAAGGUUAAGAACUGACUCUUUUGAAAGAGUUGAAACUGUGCAUUCUGCAAAAUUGGAUUUAUUAGAUACCGAUGCUUCUGCUUCUGCUUUGUAUUUUAAAUUUGACAAUUUAGAUAAUAUGGAAGCAAAUCAGAUUGAUAUUGGAAGUGCAAGGAGACCAGAAAUGAGUGACUCCCAUUUGCUUACAUGGAGAACUAAUGGAAUUGGCUGUGCUUCCCAUUUAUCCCCACAUGCAAGAUUAGAUGUGAAUCACACAGACAGACAAGAAAAUAAAGUUGACUCAGAAAAGCUCCAAAUUUCUGUUUGUGAGGGGAGCUUUUUGCAUGACAAUACAGGGGCAAACAGGUACCUUGCUCUCCAAGAAGCCUGUGACAAGACAAGUCUAGUCUCUUACCAUCUCAUUGGUCGUGUGCUGGAUGAGUUUGCGAACGUGGGAGGCUUAGAUUUAGACUGGACUGAUGUAUUAUAUCUCAGAGGCGAUAACUCGAUUCGAAAAGAUUCUGAAGACAUAAUUCCCUUUUGUUUUUUACUUGGAAGGGAUGGAUUUAAUGUAUUCCAUUAUAUGUACAGUUGGAAAAGAAGGGCACAUUCCCCAUGAGGGAGAGGUGCACGGUUUGAUUAUUGUUCAAGUUCUGGCAGAGCUGUUGGCUUGGUUUCCUGACUGUAAGAAACAGAGAGUGAAGGAUUUGCUGGGAAUAAAGUAGCUUCUUAGUUGGCAGACUCCCAUGGUCCGAUGAUGUCCUCCUUAUGAUUGGGAAAUGGAGUUAUAAAAGAUUUGAGGUUCAGGCUUGGGCACUUCUUUUUUUAUUAUUAUUAUUGUAGCUCAAGUUUGGAGUAGAGGCUGACAGUGUAAAUGGGCGCAUGCCAAUAGUCCUCACAUUGCGAGGAUCAAGAGAGGGACGCUUACAUUGGUAGUCACAUAUUUGUUCAACUUAAAGAAAAUACUAACUUUUGGUUCUUAAGUCACUAAAUAUUUAUAUAUUG